GCCUACGGGGGGCAGCAGUAGGGAAUUUUCGUCAAUGGGCGCAAGCCUGAACGAGCAAUGCCGCGUGAACGAGGAAGGUCUUCGGAUCGUAAAGUUCUGUUGAAGGGGAAAAAGAGCGGAGAGAGGAAAUGGUCUCCGAUUGAUAUUACCCUUCGAGGAAGUCACGGCUAACUACGUGCCAGCAGCCGCGGUAAUACGUAGGUGGCGAGCGUUGUCCGGAACUACUGGGCGUAAAGAGAGCGUAGGCGGCACUACAAGUCUCAUGUGAAAUACCCGGGCUUAACUUGGGGGUUGCAUGGGAAACU
rnacentral:rRNA from 1 species